ACACCUCCGUCGUCGCGUUCAGCGUCCGUCCCGUCCAGGACCACAACGAGGUCACCUACCACUUCCUCGAGGCUGUCUACUGCAACUCGCACAACGCGCAGCGAGCGGAUGCCAAGCCGGCGGCUGGCACCGCGUACGCCGCGCCCUCCUCGGCGCCCGCGUCCGCGCCCGCCGUCGACCCCGGCGGAAGCUGCGUGGACCAGGCCAAGGCGAUCUUCGAGGGUCCCGACGGGCGCCGCGACGAGGGCGUGAAGAUCGACGUCGUCGUGCAGCAGCUCAACGGGCGGUUCACCGAGGCACAGGUGCGCGAAGCCGUGGAGCACCUGG
rnacentral:lncRNA from 1 species